rnacentral:rRNA from 1 species
GAUGAACGCUGGCGGCGUGCCUAAUACAUGCAAGUCGAGCGAACGGACGAGAAGCUUGCUUCUCUGAUGUUAGCGGCGGACGGGUGAGUAACACGUGGAUAACCUACCUAUAAGACUGGGAUAACUUCGGGAAACCGUAGCUAAUACCGGAUAAUAUUUUGAACCGCAUGGUUCAAAAGUGAAAGACGGUCUUGCUGUCACUUAUAGAUGGAUCCGCGCUGCAUUAGCUAGUUGGUAAGGUAACGGCUUACCAAGGCAACGAUGCAUAGCCGACCUGAGAGGGUGAUCGGCCACACUGGAACUGAGACACGGUCCAGACUCCUACGGGAGGCAGCAGUAGGGAAUCGUCCGCAAUGGGCGAAAGCCUGACGGAGCAACGCCGCGUGAGUGAUGAAGGUCUUCGGAUCGUAAAACUCUGUUAUUAGGGAAGAACAUAUGUGUAAGUAACUGUGCACAUCUUGACGGUUCCUAAUCAGAAAGCCACGGCUAACUACGUG